CAAUUAUUGCACUGUCUUUGU
ensembl:piRNA 21ur-13710 ncRNA